rnacentral:rRNA from 1 species
AUUGAACGCUGGCGGCAGGCCUAACACAUGCAAGUCGAGCGAGCGGCGGACGGGUGAGUAAUGUAUGGGGACUGCCCGAUAGAGGGGGAUAACUACUGGGAACGGUGGCUAAUACCGCAUACUGUCGCAUAACCCAUAUGGGAGUAGCUCGUAGGUAAGGUAAUGGCUUACCCAGGCGACGAUCCCUAGCUGGUCUGAGAGGAUGAUCAGCCACACUGGGACUGAGCCACGGCCCAGACUCCUACGGAGGCAGCAGUGGGGAAUAUUGCACAAUGGGCGCAAGCCUGAUGCAGCAAUGCCGCGUGUAUGAAGAAGGCCCUAGGGUUGUAAAGUACUUUCAGUCGGGAGGCGUUACCGACAGAAGAAGCACCGGCUAACUCCGUGCCAGCAGCCGCGGUAAUUC